UGACAUUUAUUGAUGCCAGUGGCCUGAUGA
rnacentral:piRNA from 1 species